rnacentral:lncRNA from 1 species
GGAUUUAAUUUUAAUAAAUAAUGAAUGUUCUCUUUAUAUUUUUUUUAAAAGGUAAAAGAGCGUACAAAGCCCAAAUUCAUUUUUUUAAGUCCUUUACUCUCCCAUGAUUCAAACUUGGGUGGUUGUAAGAGGACUGAAAAUAUAUAAGACAGUUAACUUCACUUUUUUUUUCUUUUUUUUUUUUGUUGAGAGAAAAGAGAAGAAGGAUAUUACAAAGCAUGAAGCUCGUGCAAUAUAAGGGCAAUUAUGGUUUUUUCUUUAAAUUAAAAUGGUAAGAUUCUGAAGCUAAAAGAUUAAAAUAUUAAUUAAAUUGCAAACAUUAAAGAUUUUUUUUGCAAAUGGUUGCUUUUAAAAUGAGAAUAAUAUAAUAUUUGAAGACUUUUCAAAAUUAAUUACUGUGAUGCACUAGAAAUUUCUAGCUUUAGUCUAAUGUAUAAAUUGACAAAACGAUAUUCGAAUCCCAGAAAAAAAUACAAAGAGUGGAUGGAGAAUAAAACAGAGACAGCGGCACAGCUGGACACAACUAGAUAGAGAACAGAGCAAAACCAAAUAACAAGACUUAAGAUUACAACAAACAGAGGCCAAGUAUUGUUGAGAUCAGAAGAUGGAAAAUUCAAAAGAGUUGAUGGCAGAUGCUGAAUAACAAGACAACAAUGAACGCAAUAAACAGAAGCAAAGUGUGUUUGUGAUCGACAGACGGAAGUAACGAAAGCGGUUGUUGAUUGAAAAUGAAUGAAUGCAAGGAAAGACUGAUAUUGAAAAUUGAUGUCAAUAGCGAAGGAAUAAUUGAACUUUCGCUUAAUUAUUGUUUGUGGCCUUCUUUUACUUUUUAUUUGUGGGUCAUGUCUUUUGGAACUAAUCAUCUUAGGUUAUCCCUUAUAGCUUUAAGGCCGGUAAACCGGUGUCCGUUGGAUUAGCAUAUAGAAAUCCAACGGUGGAUAUAUAUACUUGGAGAACAAAAUUCAAGAGCAAAGCGAGUGCUGGGCUGCAGUUUCUUAAGGAGAUUUAUAUGUCCUCCUCAAAAAUAAAUGUUUUAAGGUAGAUAUUUAGACUAUUUUAUCAUAAAAUAAAUGUAAUUAAUUUUCAAUAAAUAUCUUAUAUAAAUAUAUAUUUAUUUUUUUAAUUACUAAUGACCUUUAAAUAUACAUAUAUACAUAUCACUAAUUCAAAAAAUAAAUUGUGAUUAUUUGUUAAUGUAUGCGAUUACUUGUGAUGGUAAACAAAGUAGAUAUGGUAUAUUUUGAAGUUAAAUUAAAAAAAAAACAGAGCUUUUACCAUUACUUGCCUUAUCAUCUUUUAAAUUAGAAUUAUUAUUCUUUUAUUUUUCAAGUUGCCAACUCAUCCGCAUUCUUUUUUAUUGAAUUUGAAGAUCAAUGAUUAUAAAAUUGUGUAAAAAUUUUAAGUCAAAACUUUAAAUUAAAAUAAUCUUUAAAUUAUUGAGAAAUAAUAACUUAGUAUAACAAAUAUUAUAUCCUAUAAUAUGCAGAAGCUGAAGCAGCAAAUUGGGGGCUGGAAAUUGCAGAAAAUGCAGCAUGCAUCCCACUGAUUAUUGAAUCAGAUUGCCAAGACGUGGUGAAUUUAAUCACAAAAAAGAAGAGUAGCAAGGUGGAGAUUUUUUGGACUAUCUCGGAAGUUCAUGAAAGGCUGAAACGUCUGAACCAAGUCACUUGUCAACAUACCCCCAGAAGCUGUAAUAGUAUUGCUCAUACUUUAGCUGGUUUUGCUUUAAAAGUUGUGUAACCUACUAUUUGGUUGGAAACUUGCCCAACCCAUCUGCUGUACUUGUUCUCCUAGUUACACUUUCCUUUCAAAAAAAAAAAAUAUCCUAUACUUUAUUGCUACAAAAUUACGAAACCUUAUAUUAUAUUAUGUUUUCAUAUUUCUCCUUUAUAGUGAAGACCAUACUUCUUUUUUAAUAAAUGUUAAAGUAUUAACUUAAAUUUUUUAACCAACACAGUCGACCCUUAAGCUAUAUAUAUUAUAAUAUCCCUAUUCUCUCACAGAUUAAACCAAUCUGAUCUCAGAGUAAGUUGAUACCAUGAGUUUGCAUUUGCCAUCAAAGGAGCAUCAUUACUAAUUAAUAUAGAUUCGAUCAAUAGGCAUGAUAAUAAAUUUUUUUAUCUACAAACAUUAUUUUUGAAAAUAUUAUAUCUUUAAACUUAACUAAAUAUCUUUUAACCAUAUAUGUACAGUUUGUUUGAUCUCUUUUAAAUAUUGGAGAUUACAACAGAACAGAUGCGAAUUAGCAGUGACGCUGAGUUUAGAAGAUUGAAGUUAAGAAAAUUAAGGAAAGGGUAAGGAUGUAUUUUCAAAGUGAAUUAUUGAGAGAUCUUUGAAGAUUACUUCCGUCAAGAGCUGGGUCCUAUACUCUUAACCCUUUGUCCUCCAGUCAACCAUAAGACAAAUUAUUAUUGAGUGUGAGCAGACAUUAACCACCAAAUUUUCAAACUUGUGAUCCUUAUUGAAUCUGCAUUCCCCUUUACAAAAGUAAAAAAAAAAAGUGCAAAUAACGAAACAAAAUUCUGUUCCUUGACUGCAAGUGCUGUCGGCAUUUUCAGACUUGGAAGACCCUUCUACUUGCAAGAUACCACUGAAUUUGUCUUUUUUUUUUAAUUACACUGUAUUAUCUUAUAUUUUAUAAAAAAAUUUAAUAAAUAUUAUAAAUUAUAAAUUUCUGCUGUACCGUACAUCCGCCUUGGCCGUACAGCAGCUUCUCUUUCUUCAGUCGAUCAUAGAGUCUUCUUGCCCUACCCGAUUCACUCUCCUCAUCAAAUUUUAGACCUAGUUUAUCCGCGAUUUCUCCUUGAAGCUUUCUUACGUCUCGACUCUCAGACACCUCAGAAAAAACCACCUGAUCGAAAAGCUUGUCACUCUCUGCUUUUCUAGCAACUUCUUUAGCUAGCGUCGUCUUUCCGAUUCCGCCCAUUCCAUAAAUCAAAAGCAUGUUGACAUUGGGAUUUUUUAAUGCAUCAAUUAUUUCAUUCAGAAUGGACGUUCUUGAUUCAAAGGCCUCGAAGUCUUUGUUAGGCAUAAGCAAGGUAUCCUCCGGAAUGAUGCUGUAGGAAAUACUAUUAACUGGUCUAGCGUCCAGGACUUUGACAACAGCCUCCUUCUGCCUCUCUGCUUCCUUGCUAAGUCGAGGGCGGGUCUUCAAAUUAGGACAUAACCCCUUGAAACAACGCUUAUUUGCAGUGGCUUCAUCUUCUGUAAAUUUAUCUGCCUCUUCAAUGACACUGUUGGCCGUUGCAAGCCAAUUCUCAACGUUCUCUUCAAUCUCUUCUCCUUUUCUUUUAGCCUCAUCAACCUGGUGCUCUGUACUCACCCUCUCAGACUUUAGUUUCGCAACUUCAGUGUUGAGAUUCUGUAAGUUGCUCGUGUACUUACUCUCACGCAAAUAGCUAAUUUGGCGAUAUGCGGGAGGAGCCAAGCACUUUACAACUUCUAAAACAAUAGUAAGAAUGAUUUCAGCCAUCUUCAGUCCUUUGUCCUUGUCUCUCUAUCUCUCUUUUUCUGAAUUUUGGAAAAACAAUUCAACAGGUGACCACAACAAGAUGGAACACAAGUGACUACAACAAGAUGGAACAAAAUAAAAAGGAAAAAAAUACAAAGAGUGGAUGGAGAAUAAAACAGAGACAGCGUCACAGCUAGACACAAUUAGAUAGAGAACAGAGGAAAACCAAAUAACAAGACUUAAGAUUACAACAAACAGAGGCCGAGGUGGAUAUAUAUACUUGGAGAAUAAAAUUCAAGAGCAAAGCGAGUGCUGGGCUGCAGUUUCUUAAGGAGAUUUAUAUAUCAUCCUCAAAAAUAAAUAUUUUAAGGUAGGUAUUUAGACUAUUUCAUCAUAAAAUAAAUGUAAUUAAUUUUCAUAAAUAUGUGAUAUCAAUAUUUAUUUAUUUUUUUAAUUACUGAUGGCCUUUGAAUAUACGAUACAUAUUACUAAUUCAAAAAAUAAAUUGUGAUUAUUUGUUAAUGUAUAUGAUUACUUGUGAUGGUAAACAAGGUAGAUAUGGUAUAUUUUGAAGUAGAAAAAAAAAAACAAAAGAAAAAACAGAGCUUUUACCAUUGCUUGCCUUAUCAUCUUUUAAAUUAAAGUUAUUAUUCUUUUAUUUUUCAAGUUGCCAACUCAUACGCAUUUUCUUUUAUUGAAUUUGAAGAUCAAUGAUUAUAAAUUUGUGUGAAAAUUUUAAGCCAAAAUUUUAAAUUAAAAUAAUCAUUAAGUUAUUAAAAAAUAAUAACUUAAUAUAACAAAUAUUAUAUCAUAUACUUUAUUGCUACAAGAUUACAAAACCUUAUAUUAUAUUAUGUUUCCAUAUUUCUCCUUUAUAGUGAAGACUCAUACUUUUUCUCUAGUAGAUGUUAAAGUAUUGGCUUAAACUUUUUAACCAGCACAGUAAACCCUUAAGCCUAUAUAUGCUAUAAUGUCCCUCUUCCCUCACAGAUCAAACACUAUUUUUCAAAAUAUUAUAUCUUUAGACUUAACAAAAUAUCUUUUAACCAUAUAUGUACAGUUUGUUUGAUCUCUUUUAAAUAUUGGAGAUUACAACAGAACAGAUGCGAAUUAGCAGUGACGCUGAGUUUAGAAGAUUGAAGUUAAGAAAAUUAAGGAAAGGGUAAGGAUGUAUUUUCAAAGUGAAUUAUUGAGAGAUCUUUGAAGAUUACUUCCGUCAAGAGCUGGGUCCUAUACUCUUAACCCUUUGUCCUCCAGUCAACCAUAAGACAAAUUAUUAUUGAGUGUGAGCAGACAUUAACCACCAAAUUUUCAAACUUGUGAUCCUUAUUGAAUCUGCAUUCCCCUUUACAAAAGUAAAAAAAAAAAGUGCAAAUAACGAAACAAAAUUCUGUUCCUUGACUGCAAGUGCUGUCGGCAUUUUCAGACUUGUAAGACCCUUCUACUUGCAAGAUACCACUGAAUUUGUCUUUUUUUUUUUAAAUUACACUAUAUUAUCUUAUAUUUUAUAAAAAAUUUAAUAAAUAUUAUAAAUUAUAAAUUUUUAUAUUUAAUAUUCUCAAAAUAAAUUAUCAAACAAAUGAUUCAUUUAUUAUUUUUUCUUUUAAAUUUUUGUUAUUAAGAAGAUUUUUGGAUAUUAAGCGUGAAGGGCUCCACUGAUCGCUAAUUUUGCAGCAAUUGCCCUUUUCUUUCUCCCCUAAUUGUUUUGAAAAAUAUCUAGUCUCAUUCAGCGAAGUAUCCAAGGCCAAAGGGCUAAAAGAUGGGACACCCACAUGUGCUUCUAAUUAAAAAGGGUUAUUUUUCGCUACCCCACAUGUUUUGAUAAAUCAUAUUGUGUACCCAUUUGUUUCAAUAAUCAUCAGUGUGCACCCAUUCUGUUAAAUUCAGCCGUUUAGUUUAACCAAUCAAGGGUAAAAUGGAUAUUGUACAAUAAAUGAAUAAAAAAUCAAGUUAAACUGUUUGCACAGAAGAAAGAGAACAAGGAGAAGUAAAAGAACAACAUCAUUUCUGAAAAAACAACUCCAUCUCUGCAAAUCGUACCAUCCAAGAGCAUAAAUCAAAGCAAAUAUGGAGGGAAAAUAUUAUGUGUUGGAGUUGAUGUUCUUAUAUCCCCAUCUAGAGUAAGAGGUUUUGACGUGGUAGCGUCUUAUGACACCAUUGUAUUACAAGUUAUCAUUGGUAGUUUUUUGGCAGAAGGCUGGAAGGAGUCAAUAUCAUGGAUGCAACCAAAACCAUUGUCUUCUUCUAUGCCAAAAUUCAUCCUAGAAGCAUCAGCAAUUGGAAGCCCACCAUCACAUGGAAACUUAAGUGAAUCAUCUGGUGGACCUGGAAGCCCUCUAAACCACAGCACCGAAGGAGGCUGCAGUAACAGCAAUCCGCCAAGCAUACUGAAUAUGUGGAAAUAGAGUUGGUGUUGUGUGAUUCAGCAUCAGUUUUUAUUUUUUAACAUGCAUAUUAACAGUGACUGGUGGGAUUUUUGAAAUUUAAUGAUUUGAAAUUCAAAUUGGGGACAAAAUCACCAUUUCACAAAAUAAUUGUCAGAAUGGUUAAAAUAAACGGCUGAAUUUAACGAAAUGGGUGCGCGGUGAUAAUUGUUGAAAUAAGUGGGUUUACGGUAAAAUUUGUCAAAACAUGUGGGGGGUGGCCAAAAAUAACCGAAUUAAAAAAUCAAAAGUUAGGGGGACCAUAACUUACAUUUAAUAUAAUUUAUGAUAGGAGUCCACUUAUGUUACCACUGUACAACAGGUUUGGUCUUUUCUGACUCAGUUGCUGUAAAAGUUUGUUGAGCCCCUUGUACUCGAUAUUAUUUACUAUUUAUUUAUAAGUAUUAUAAAAAUUUCUGCUUACUUGUUAAAACAAACCUCUCGGCCCCACUCCCCUUGUGCUCGAUAUUUUUUACGCGUUUCUCUUUUCUCUCCCCCACGUGAACACUUUUGCCUUUUGCUGGUUCACGUGAAAGUCAGUUUAGAAUUUUGAUCUUAUUUCACAGAGCUAAUUUUUUAUCACAAGCAGGAGAGAAACGGCAUUUCUUAGCAGUUAAAGUUAGGGGGACCAUAACUUACAUUUAAUAUAAUUUAUGAUAGGAGUCCACUUAUGUUACCACUGUACAACAGGUUUGGUCUUUUCUGACUCAAUUGCUGUAAAAGUUUGUUGAGCCCCUUGUACUCGAUAUUAUUUACUAUUUAUUUAUAAGUAUUAUAAAAAUUUUUGCUUACUUGUUAAAACAAACCUCUCGGCCCCACUUCCCUUUUUUUUUUUUUGAAAAGCCCCACUCCCCUUGUACUCGAUAUUUUUUACGCGUUUCUCUUUUCUCUCCCCCACGUGAACACUUUUGCCUUUUGCUCGUUCACGUGAAAGUCAGUUUAGAAUUUUGAUCUUAUUUCACAGAGCUAAUUUUUUUAUCACAAGCAGGAGAGAAACGGCAUUUCUUAGCAGUAGUUCAUCACUGUAGUAGCGAGCGAGUGAGGAACAAAAUUACCAACAAUUCUCAAAAAAUAAUUAUAAAAAAUGAUCACAUGCUAUAAUUAAUCAUGACACUUUGACAACAUUACUCCCACCGAGCAAAAGUUAACAGCAUCUUCUCCCACAUUUUUAAAAAAAAAAUUGUAUUAUAUAACCCACCAAAAGUAUAAAGAGUCUUUUCUUAUUAAAAUUAAUAAAUUACUCUUUAUAUUGAGAAAUUAAAAUUUAAAAUGAGAAUGAUGGGCGAUGUUCAUUUCUUAAAAUAAAAAUAAAAUUUAUGAAGUUUAUCUAUUUUUAGAAUUAAAGAAUAAGAACUUAAUUUCUUAUGGGGAGUGUUGGAAAUCAAGUUCUUAUUCCUUAAACUCUCAAUUUUACCUCACAAAAAUUUAUAAGUUCACUUUUAUCUUUAAUUAAAAUAUUAUUAUGUUAUUAUUAUGGUUAUUAUUCUUAUUUUUGUAGUAGUUGCUGUUGUUUUUGUUGAUGAUGAUGAUAAUAGUUGAUAAUAAAAUUAAUAAUAAUAAUGAAAAUAUAACUAUAAUUUUAACAGCUACAAUAAUAAUCAUUAAUAUUAUCGUUGUUGUUCUUAUUAUUAUUAUUAUUAUUAUUAUUACUACUACUACUAUCCUAUUAUAUUAUUAUUAUUAAAUAAUUAUUUUGAAUAAUAAUAAUCUCAAUUAUUAUAACAAACAACGACAAUAAUGAACUAAUGUCAUUUUCAUAACUUAUAACAAUUUAUUUUUUAUUUCAAGACAAAAUAAACAUAUUAAUAAUAAUACAGGUCAUUUCGAUUAUGAUUCUUACAGGUAAAAUAAAUAAUUUAUUAUGAUUUUCACAUCAUAAUCAUAAUUCUUAUAGUAUUAUCUUUAUUUUAAAAUACUUUUUUAUUUUGAAAAAAUAUCCAGACUCAUUCUGCAAAGUACCCGAGGCCAAAGCGCCGAAAGAUAGGACACCCACAUGUGCUUUUAUUUACAAAAUCUAAAGUUAGGGUGGGUGUCCGAAACUUAAAUUUAAUAUAAUUUAUAAUUAGGUAAAAUUCUUUGAUUGACCCAUUAAAUUUUAUUAUUCUACUACUUAUUUUUAUAUUAAAAAAUUAGUAAUGUAGAAAAAUUCUUAAAAGUUAAUGGAGAAGGAAAAGAAAAAGUGUAAAUGAACUGUAUUCACCUAAGUUUCAAACACGUGGUUCAAUCUGAAUUCGCUUUUUUCAAAAGUAAAUACAAAAGAAAAUAUACAGAAAAAAAAAUUAAACGAGACAAAAAUCUGUGGCGUGGGUCAUUCAUAUCUUUUGUCAUUUCUUUUUUAGAGGUACAUGGGGUGGAUAUUUUGAAGUGACAAGCAGAGCUUUUACUGUUGCUUGCCUUAUCAUCUUUUAAAAUUAGAGUUACUAUUCUUUUAUUUUUAAGUAGCCAACGGAUGGUAGCCAACUCAUCCAUGUUCUCUAUUAUUGAAUUUAAAGAUCAAUGAUUUAUGUUAAUAAAUAUUUUGUUAACUAUCAAAGUUUUUAUUUCAAAAUUACUGUUAUAAUUCAUUAAUUUUUCAAUUUUUCCUUUUUCUAUUCACACAACAGAUUGAUUUGCCCUCCAAAAAAAUGUAUUAGAUUGUUUAAUAUUGUAACAUCAAGAAACUUAUAAUAAAUUUUUAAAGAGAUAACUAGAGAAUGUCAGCCUCGCAUCUACUCAAAAUUAAUAAAUAUACCACUAAUUCCUUAUUAUUUUUAUAAAACUAAUAACUUUCUUGGUAGUAUAAUUUUAUAGUAUUAUCCUUAUUUGUAAGUAUAUUUUUAUUCAUAUUUAUUAUAAAUUAAUUAAAUCAUAUCAAUAAAAAUUAAAAUAGAAUAAUAUGUUUUGGUGUGAAUAAAAGAUUGAAAAUAAAAAUAUUUUUCUUAUAUUUUUUGUUAUUUUUAAAUGUUUUUCAUAUAAUAAAUGUACAUUUUAUAUUCUUAAGAUGAAUUUUGAGUAAAUGACUCAUUUACUCAUUUUUUUUCUUUAAAUUUUUGUUACUAGGAGGAUUUUUAGAUAUAAUGAAAAUUGUAAGGUAGUAAGUAAUAUAUAAUAAUUUUAAUAGAGAAAAAUAAAAAAAUCUCUUAUUUUAAAAUAUAAGAAGAAAAAUAAUUAAUUUUAAGAAAUUUUAGAAGAUAUUUCAAUAUGCUGUGGAUCACACCCUGAGACCGUCGACCGAGGGUGUGAGAAGGGAGAAGAGGGAGCCGGGAGGUAACAUGGUGUGUGUGAGUUUAUAUAUAUAUAUAAUUUUUAAAAGCCAAAACUUAAAAAAAAAAAAAUUUAACCCAACCCAAACGCCCACCUCAGAUUACUUCCGUGUUAAGAGCUGAAUCCCACACUCUUGAGCCUUUGUCGUCCUAGUCAACUAUCAAAACAAAUCAUUAUUGAAUGUGAACAGACUUAUUGAUCACCCAAUUUUCAAACUUGUCAUCCUUAUUGAAUCUGCAUUCCCUUUUAAAAAUUUUUAAAAAAAGUACAAAUAAUGAAACAAAGUUUUGUUCCUUCAACAGUUGAUAGAGUUACGCGGCUUCAACUUGCAAGUGCUGUCGGCAUUUUCAAACUUGCAAUACCCUUCAACUUGCUUUCCAAGAUAGCUAUAAUUAAUAAUGACAACAAUCUCCCUUAUAGUGACUAGUGAGCAACUUGUUUCGUGAAAUUAACGGCAUCUUCUCUCACAUUUAAAAAAAAAAAUUGAAUUAUAAAACCCACCAAAACUAUAAAAGAAUUGUUAGUUUUUCUUCAUUAAAAUUAAUAGAUUGCUCCUCAUAUUGAAAAAUCAAAAUUCAGAAUAAGAAUGAUUGAUACUCUUUAUUUACUAAAAUGAAAAUAAAAUAUAUGAAGCCUACAUAUUUUUGAAAUAAAAAAAAAGAACUUUAUUUUCCAUGGGGAGUGUUGGGAAUCAAGUUCUCAUUAUUUAAAGUCUCAAUUGUACCUCACCAAAAUUUCAUAAUUUCACUUUUAUUCUCAAUUAAAAUAUUAUUAUAGUUAUUAUUCUUAUUUUUAUAGUUGUUGUUGUUGAUGAUGAUGAUAAUGAUGAUGAUGAUGAUACAAGAUAAUAAAAUUAAUGAUAAUUAAACUAAUUUGAAUUCAGAGUGAGUGAGUACCAUGACUUCGCAUCAUUUGAUAUCAAAGGAGCAUCAUUACUAACUAAUAUAGGCUCAAUCAAAUUCAUCAUGCGAAGUAUAUUAUCGGCUGUAGGUAUGGAAAUAAAUUUUGUACCCACAAACACUAUUUUUCAAAAUAUUUUAAGACUUGACUUAGCAUUUUUUAACCAUAUAUGUAUAGGUUGUUUGACCUAUUUUAAAUAGUGGAGAUUACAACAAAUGAACAGAUGUGGAUUAGCAGAGUUGUUGAGUUCAGAAGAUUGAAGUUAACAAAGGGUUUCUUGAUCUAGAGAAAAUUCGAAAGAGCGAAGUGUCUUCGAGAUCAAAAGACGAAAUAAGGAAAGGGUAAGGUUAUACUUUCAAAAUGAAUCUGUUGAGAGAACUAACUAAUACAGGCUCGAUCGAAUUCAUCAUACGAAGUAUAUUAUCGGCUGUAGGUAUGGAAAUAAAUUUUGUAUCCACAAACACUAUUUUUCAAAAUAUUUAAGACUUAACUUAUCAUUUUUUAACCAUAUAUGCAUAGGUUGUUUGACCUAUUUUAAAUAAUGGAGAUUACAACAAAUGAACAUAUGUGGAUUAGUAGUGUUGUUGAGUUCAGAAGAUUGAAGUUAAGAAAAAGGUUUCUUGAUCCAGAGAAAAUUCAAAAGAGCGAAGUGUCUUCGGGAUCAGAAAACGAAAUAAGGAAAGGGUAAGGUUAUACUUUCAAAAUGAAUUUGUUGAGAGAUCUUUGAAGAUUAUUUUCAUUAACAAUUAGAUCCCACACUUGAGUCUUUAUCGUCUCAGUCAGUCAGUUAUAAAGACAAAUUAAUUUUGAGUAUGAAAGGACUUUCAAACUUGUGACCCAGUUAUAAAGACAAAUUAAUUUUGAGUAUGAAAGGACUUUCAAACUUGUGACCCUUCAAGCUUUCUAUGACAGCUAUAAUGAAUAAUUACAACAGUGCUACCUAAUAGUGAGCAACUUGUUUGAUGAUCUCAGAGUAAGUUUGCUUCAAAGGAGUAUCCUUACUAACUAAUAUAGGCUCGAUCAAUAGGGAUGACAAUAACUUUUUUAUCUACGAACAUUAUUUUUUCAAAAUAUUAUAUCUUUAGACUUAACUAAAUAUUUUUUUAACCAUAUAUGUAUAGUUCGUUUAAAUAGUGGAGAUUACAACAAAACAGAUGCGAAUUAGUAGUGAUGUUGAGUUCUAGAUCAAGACGAAAAUAAAGAAAGGGUAAGAUGUAUUUUCAAAGUGAUUCUAUUGAAAUAUCUUUGAAGAUUACUUUCGUUAAGAAGUGGAUUCCACACUCUUGAGUCUUUGUCGUCCCAGUCAACUAUAAAGACGCAUUAUUAUUGAGUGUGAACAUUCGAACUUAUAGAUCACCAAAUUUUCAAACUUGUGAUCUUCGUUCAAUCUGCAAUCCCUUUCGAAAAACAAAAAAGGAAAACUGCAAAUAAUGAAACAAAAUUAUGUUCCUUAAUAGACUUACGCGGCUUGAACUUGCAAGUGCUGUCGGCAUUUUCAAACUUGUAAGACCCUUCAACUUGCUUUCCAAGAUAGCUAUAAUUAAUAAUGACAACCGAAGACGGCUACGUUUGCGGUACAAAAGUUGCACCAUAUUAGACGUUCUUUUUUGUUCUUAUCCGAAGUAACCGUUGGAUUCAAAGGAAAGUGAUCAGACAUUCAAUAGCUUCACACGUGGACAUUAUAGGAUACCGGUCAAAUCGGUUAGUGCUCCUCCUCAAUCAAACUCACAAGCAUGGCUAUCAUCGUAUCAGCUUGGAAACUUGUUACAAGUGACUAAGAGCAACAGGGUCCGCUCCUCUAGAGUCGGUUAGUGCUCAAUAAUGUUACAGGUUUUAUAAUCUAUGUAACUGGUACGAUCGCUGUCUCAAGUGGUAAACUUUUGAGGCACAAAUUUAGAACGAAAAUUAUCUUAAAAGUGUAAAGAGUAAAGUACUAUUCUGAUUAAUUUAAAAAAAAUUAUUUUAUCUUAAUCUUUAAUGCAACAUAGCUUUUUUUUUUUUUUUCUUAGCAACAAAGCAUUGUUCCAAAUAAUUAUUAUUGGAUUCAAAUAAUGUUCUAGGCAUUUUUUCUUCUAGUCGUCUUAAACUUUUAAUGAUUUAUUGGCAUGUGUCAAUCAUUAAUGAAAUUAAAUAACUAAGACUUUGUUUUAAUUAACGUUUACAUAAAUAGACAUCAAAACUCACGUGUAAUUCUUAUCAAUUUUUUUCCUGCAAAUUCUUUUCCUCUCAACUAUUCAUAUUUUGACAUUAAUUUCCAGCAAAUUAUUAAAAAAAACGAAGCGUAAAAUGGAGAAAAGUGAUUGACAACAAGGUUUGCAUCUUAAUUUCAAAACUUUCCUUUCUUUGCUAUUUUUGUGGGUUCUACAAUUGUUGUUUUCACUCUCAGCUGCAGUUCAAUGAACUCUAUUAAUAACCAUGAAGCUUAAUGUAUCAAUUCCAAUACGACAAGUCCUUCUACGCAUGUUACAACACUUUUUGGUCAUUAUAGGUUGCAAAUGUUCCGUAAUGUACUCAUUCAUAUAACGGAAACGCUAUUAUCAAUAAUGAAAGUUGACUAAGUUUGUAAAUUCUAUUUAACGAAAAAGUAACAUAAAUUUAGUUGAACAAGAGGUAAUCAAUAUGUAAUCUAUGAAACUAGGGUGUGACUAAGUUACAUAGUAAUGUAACUUACAUGAACACAAAAAUAAUUAGGUUUUAAACUACAAGUAGCUUUGGAACAGCUCUUAAAUUGAUAUAAGUUCUAUUAUUAUGUAACUUAGCAAGGUCAGAUAUUUUAAUAAUAGCACAUCACUAUUGUUUCAUGUGAAUGAUGCAAUUGGAUUAGCCAAUACAUACUGUCAUCCCCGGGAGAUGCUAUGGCAAUAGCUUACUCUACCGUGCCAAUGUCAUUAGUAUUAAUCUGUUGAACCUAAGACCAGAUCUAAGCUGAUCUAGAUUCCCCAAGAUCGCACACCACACAGUGAUUAAUGAAUCAAGAACAAUAAACCAUCAAAGAAUCGCAAACUUACAUAAUUAAACACUUAAAUAAGCUAUCCUUUUAAUUUUUUUUUUACACCCCUCCAGUUUCAUAAUUUAUAUUUAUAAUUUAAAUUUUAAUGGAAAAUAUUUUUUUGAAAAAUUUUAAGAAUUAAGAAUUAUGGGGAUAAAAAUUAUGUAAUAAGAACAAAAUAAUUUAAAAUUUUAAAAUUUGCAUGUAUUAUAAACAAAAACUUGAAAGAAAUACUCUUUUCAGGGUGAAAUUUAAUGAGAAAAAGAUUAAUUUUAAUUUAUGAAUUAGUAUUUUAUAAGUUAAACUGAGGUAUUUCAAGAAAUAGAAUUCAAAAGGCAUGGGAACGAGGGCCUUGGGUUUCAUUUUGUUUUGUAGGAAUUGGGAAAAAUACACGGACAGACAAAGGGAGCAGUCAUUAUAAUGCUGUGAAGCUGGUCGGAGAUACCCUGCCCAUUUGUAGCUUAGACUCCUGGGGUUUUGUUCAUGUCUUUUCUGUAUCCCACUUUCUCAUGCAGCAGAUGUACAUAUGAUGAGAUGAAAACAACAGCAAAAAUUGCUGUCUCAUAAGAGAAAUAGUCAUACAUAGUUGGUUAGGCCUCCUGUCCAUUAACUUAAUAAUGAAUUUUAUGAAAAUUGAUUAUCUCAUUGGAAUUACAUAGAUAUUGGAAAUCAUUACUCCAGCCCCACCAUGCCAACCAUUUACUUAGUUCAUCAGUAAAAGCUGGAUUUUCCAUUUGUUCUUGAGAUUCAAAUUAAGGCAACAAGUUGCUCAUUCUAUAUUAUCUAUGUAAUCCUGUAAAAGUGAAGGGCGUUUAGAUGUGGAAAAACCUUACUCCUGCCGCAACACCUCAAACAGAUUGUGAUCAGACAAGACUUAGUUCAUCAUUAGUAGUAGUUGGAGCUUCCAUUUGUUCUAGAGAUUUAAAGGCAGCAAGCUGCUUCCUCAGUGCUACUAAUUCUUCCCCGGCAUUGUAUAUGUAGCCUGAGGCUUGUCUACCAGACAAAGUUGCUCCUUCCAUACUAUCUAUGUAAUCCAGUGAGAGUGAAACCAUUUAGAAGACGUAUCUCUUUCUUUCCAAUAUUUAGAAUGAAACAAUUAUAUACAGUUACCUGUUUUGUAUAUGAGCCGGCGAGGAAGAAGUUCUUCACUGGUGUCUUUUGAUCGCGUCUGAAGGGGUCUUUACCAGGUCCCUCACCGCACAAAGAUUGCCCGAUUUUGACGAAAGAUGACCAAAUAACUUCUAAACCUUGGGAUGAUAGAAAUAGAGCUAAAACCUAAUAAAAGGAACCGUGAAUGGAUAGUAUGGACUCAUGUAUAUUAUCCAGAAAGUUGCAUGACCUUUUUUGGUACUCAGGUCACUAAAAAAUGUGAGAUAAACAUCUAGGAUAAGAAAAGCAAAAAAGCAUAACCUAAUACAUAUUAUAUGAAUUGAAGGUGUCACUGAACGCUACCAACCUGCUUUGCCACUCUCCUUAUAAUUUCAUCAUUUGGUAAGGGCAUAUAAGGAUCUCCAGGUGUCAAAAUGCAUCUGAAAUAUAAUAUGGCUAUAGUAAGUAACACAGAAUACAAAGACACUUAGCAAAAGGAAGUCAAUCAGAUUCCAUGCACAAAAAAUAACUAAUAAUGACGAGGAUAAGAAAUUUGUCUUGCUGGAGCAACGAACCUUGCCCUUCUCUGUAGUAGUCUUCUGGUGAAGUGAGUGCUAGAUCUGCAAAGCAAGAUAAAUCUGCAUCUGGAGUAUAUGAAAGGUUAUCUAACCCCACAGCUUGCCUCAAUUGUCUACAUGUUCAAAACAAGGAUCUGUUAAAAAAUGGAAAUUUCUUCAAUGCAUUAGUAAAGGGAAGUGAAGUGAAAGCUGAUUUCUUAGGCCUUCACAGAGCAUCAUGUGUUUGAAUUCCGGUAACCUCACAAAAAAUUAGAGCAUCACCUUGACCGUUCUAGGUCUUGCAACUCAGUAACCCAACCAUUGCAUCUAAGCUGCACUGUGACAACGGGAACUCCAACUAGCUCAUAAAUAUUGUUGAAAAUUUUCAUUUCCCUCCACGAUGAUGGAGGCAAUCUUUUAAUUCCAGGGACAUCACAUGCAGCCAUUAAAUAAGAAGUUGAAUAAAGAAAAACCGUUCAACUAAAUGAUUCAGGAGUUAAAAAAAAAAUGUAGAAGUAGAAAUAAAUAACGAAGAUUUAACCAUGAACCUGCAACAUAUGCAUCAGCUUGCACAACCUUCUUGUCAGUGGCCUGAAAUAGAAUGAGAAAUUGAAAGACAGUAAGCAUUAAAGAAUAAACUCAAAGAAGCUGCUUCUAACAGAUGAUAUAAACAAUAAAUUUACAAAUGUCAGUGUUAAGCAAAUAAAAGCACCAGGUCGGCCAUGAUACUAUUUCCACCCCGGCAUGAAUCACCUCAGCCAAAUGGUACGAGCAGAACAGGGGGUAACAUGAGCCGAUCCGAGACGAAUACUGACCAGAGCCAUAUACCGAGCCGGUACCCGUCCCCCAAAAAGUGGAAACACGAUCUCACAGAAUCACGGUAGUUGCGUUUUCCCAGAACCGUUGCGGGAGACGCGAGAUCCCAUGUUUGCCCAUAAUGCAGCAGUUAGAGUCCCAUGAGAGGCUACCACUACCCGAAAAAGGUGGGAUGAAGGGCAAACGGGAACGUGGGGACAGCGGCUAUAAAAGAAGAAGAAAUCGAUGAAGAAGGGGACAGAAAAAUGAAGAGAGGGAAAACGCUGCCAAAUUGCAAUUAGGCAUUUUUUACAAACUUCGAAACAAGUUAGAAACCAUUCUUGAAUCCAAAUUACAUUGUUUUCCCGUAAACACCUUGUGCUAACUUAGGCAUCGGAGGGUUUACGCCGGCAAAACCACCGGCGUCUCUGAUCCGUUUUUGGUGAACGCAGGUCUAGUAGGAGAGAUGAGGGUGAUUCCAACCCCAGUGGUUCGAGCAACAGUUAAUAACACGAACGUUGGUGGAGGAAUCUGGUCGGCCAAAAGGCGAGCAGAUUUAAGCAUCAACAGUCAGAUCAUUGCAUUAGCUCUAUGCCUCCAUCAGAGGGAAUAUUAAUAGAUGCAUAAAAAAAUAAUUAGAACCAUGUGAGAAACAAUUACCUUAGACAUGGCAACUCCUUUGACAUAUGUUUCUCCAUUAGCAGAUUUAUCAUAAAGUAUCUCUCUGCAUCCCCACCUAAGAUGGAACCUGUUCUAGCAAAAACAGACCCCAAGGUUAGGAAAAUCAGUUCAUCAUAGGAGAAAACAAACAAGAUUAACAAAUCACUGCAAUGAUGUGAACCUGUAAAUAGAAAUUUACCUGCCCCCUUUAUCUGUGAUAUGUUUUCGUAUGGGCCCACUCAAAUAAACGUCUGGAGAACCCUUGAGCAUCCGCAAUACAAAAAGGAAUAAAAAUUCUUCUAAAUUCUUUCACCAUCAACAAAAUCAGUAAAACACAUACUAAUUCAAAAUGACAUAAAGUUUGUGAAUUGAAAUAAUGCCAACUCCUAAGAAAAAUUAUGACUGCUGAUAUUUUUUCCGAAAUGCUGAUAAAAGCUUCUGCUAUUUACUUUGAAAAAAUAGAGGUUAGAAGCCAAUUUACUUGAAAUUUUGAGUUUAGGCAAGAGGAUGAAUGGCAAAAGUGAAACAAUUUAGGGAAAAAUGUACUUCAGAGGCCAAUGAAAGCAUUCAGAAGAUUGAAAUCUAAAUAAGCAAAACCCCGUGGCCUUGAUCCAACAAAUCCACUGCUGUUGACAUGCCUGCAAGCCCAGCUCCAAUAAUAGCCACUUUCAGCUUUGGUCCUCUAUAAUGUUCCGGUUCUGGUAGAAACAAACCCUUGGGAGCUGCCAAGUAUACCAUCCAAUUAUCCACAGCGAUAAUGGAAAUAUAUNNNNNNNNNNNNNNNNNNNNNNNNNNNNNNNNNNNNNNNNNNNNNNNNNNNNNNNNNNNNNNNNNNNNNNNNNNNNNNNNNNNNNNNNNNNNNNNNNNNNNNNNNNNNNNNNNNNNNNNNNNNNNNNNNNNNNNNNNNNNNNNNNNNNNNNNNNNNNNNNNNNNNNNNNNNNNNNNNNNNNNNNNNNNNNNNNNNNNNNNNNNNNNNNNNNNNNNNNNNNNNNNNNNNNNNNNNNNNNNNNNNNNNNNNNNUUAACGCUCAUAUCAGAAACAUUAGUGUCCAAAGAAGCCCGUACACAGAAUCUUGGAUCCUUCACUUGAACCCGAGACCAUGUAACGCCAGUAACUGAAGUUGCAGGAAACAGAACUGAAGAACCCAUAUUGCAAAUCCUGAGCUGAAAUCAAAGAAAUUCAAUUGGAACUCAAUUCAGCUCAACCGAGCGGAGCUCUCUUUUGCUUCAAUAACAAAGUGUUUUUCUUUCAUAUCAACAAAGAUUUGUCAACAUCAACAAAAUUUAACUAAGAAACUAAAAAUAAUGCGGUAUCUUUGAGUUUAAGAAUCUAACAAGAUGCUAAGGAAGAGAGUUUUGUCAGGGAACUGUUUCGGAGAGGUUGGCCAAGUGCAUUUUUGUUUUUUUCUUGUUUUGCCCUUUUCAUUAAUGCACAACAUUAGUCCACGUGAAGAGCACAAAAUGCUGGUGGCUUUGUCACUAACGAUAAUGGAUGGAGUGUCCAAAGCAACCAACUAAAUUUUAAAGAGAGGGAAUGAUAAGUAAUAUCUUAAUGGGGUGAUUAAUUAAUUUAUUAUCAAGCAAUUGUAUUUAUUUAUUUAAAAGAUAUCCUUAUCUUUGUACAAGGUUUGAGGAAAGACGACGAUGUUGUGUUGUCACAUAUUUUUACGUUUCUCCAUAAUUCACUGCAACAUCAACUGGGCCACCACCUCUUGCCUCUCCUGGUUCCCCUCAAUUUUCGUAUUCAAUGUCCACCGUUGAUUGUACAUUUAUUAAAAUUCUGUGGUUAUUGUUUUUUUGCAUACAUUUAAUUCCACACGGUCUAUGGAUAGAGCAGGUGCAUCGUAGUUGUGGCCUUAACUGUUAUUGGUAACUCAAUAGCUAAUUCUAAUGUUUCAUCAAGCAGUUUAGAGAUAACCUCUCUCGCUGAACUCCCCGGAGUAACGCAAUCCAGUUUUCCAGUGCAAUCAUCAGACAGUUGAACAGCUUCUGAAUUCCCUUUGCUUUUCUUGUUUUCUUUUCCAUGUAAAGGGAGCUCAGGCUUCAAUAUAUCUGGGGAUUGAGUUCUAAUGAUAAAGACAACAUACGGUAGAGGACACAAAUUGUUAUUAAAGAAUGACGCACUUUUCAACUGAGUACAGUAAAGCAAGAAUGGGUAAUUAGUUUUACCUGCAACGUGAAAAUCUAGACUCCCGACGGUAACCGAUCUUUGGUGAAGCAAAUAAAGAAGAAGGCGAAGUAAAAUUCACUGAGUUGAAUGAGCGAUCAUUGUGUAUGGACUUGAUUUGUUCAAUAGGUGAAAGACUGCUGAUAUAAUUAAAGACUGGAGAAUCCUGCACGUUGACAAGCAUCAUUUUUAAUAUAACAUAGAGUCUUAAAAACCUAGUCAGUGGCAAAUGAUCACGACAAGCAAAAUGAAGUACAAACAGCAGAGCUCAACAAAUCAUUAAGAGAAAAUAAGACCAUUAACCAAGCAGAUAAAAGAAACGCAAAAUAACCCAUCUCAAAUCACCGCAUGCACAAUUUAAGGGGGCUGUUACAUGGGUUUAAGCAUGAUUUAACAAGUGCCACCAGUGAAUUCUCAAAGAUUGAAUUUUCAUACACAUGCAAAUUUCCAAGUCCAACGAAUUGUUGUCUUUCUGAAGAUAUUAACGAUGCAUAGCAUACUAUAAACAAAUCAUAUUAUUAGGGCCUUUCUUUGCUGUACACAACAUAUGUACAGAGGAACAAAUCCAUGAGCUGAAAUCAUCAUAUUCCAAAAUAUUCUACCCAAUCAACACUACAAAACCCUAACGCUAAACAGAAUUGGAGCAAUUUACGAAAGCUAUUUGUCACACAAAGCGCUAGUACCUCUGAACCCAAUUUGCAGAUGAAAAAUAACAAAUGCCCAAAUGAAAAAAUCAGGAAAAAAAAAUGCUCAAAUUCAAACUACAACCCCAUAAGCUGAGUCGUUCUCUUCAAACUAAAUUUAACACUGAAUAAAAAAAUUAAAAAAUUAAAAUGGGGAGAUUAACCUCAAACUUGGAAACAGAAGCGACAGUGAUCUGUUUCUUAUCUGGAGUGUCCAUUUCUAUAAUCUACUUUGUCCGUUUUCAGUCGCUCCGCCACAAAGCCUCUUCACUCCGAAGCUGAAACUCGCCACACACUUGCAAAACGAAAGCAUUUGAUUGAUUGAGAGCGUUAUUAUUACUAUUUGAAGGACGCGUGUCAUGCAAUGGCGAGACAAAAAGUGGUGCAAAACUCCAAUGGUCACGAAAUGACGAUAAAAUAAAAAUAUAUCGUUAAUUUUUCACUUAACAUUGGAAUAUCAUAUAAUUUUAAGGUCAUUUUCUCGCCGUUACGCCACAUUCUUUUGAUAAAAUAAUAUGGUAAAACUUUUCUAUAAUCAUGAUAUUAGAACCUAAUUAACUUUAUAUCUAUAAAGAGGUUAUAGCUUAAUAAAGCAAAAUUGUAAAAAAUAUUAUUUUGACUUAAUUAUCUAAAGAGUAAAUAUAUGAUAAUUAAUUAAUAAAUAAUGUCAAAUACAAUAUAUGGACUAUAAUAAAAAAGAUAGACAUAAUUUCAUAAAAUUAAUACAUAUGUUUUUGUAGUGUUGCGAUUAUACAAAGUUAUCUUAAAAGUGUAAAGAGUAAAGUAUUAUUCUAAUUAAUUUUAAAAAAUAUUUUAUUAUUAACCUUUAAUGCAACAUAGUAAUUUUUUUUCCCUAGCAACAAAGUAUUGUUCCAAAUAAUUAUUAUUGGAUCUAGAUCCUGCCCUAGGCAUUUUCUCUACUAAUCCUCAUAAACUUUUAGGGUUUGUUUGGCACGUGAGAUUAGAUUGAACAAACUAUUAUGAUUGGACUAAAUUAGAAGGGAUUGGAUUGGAUUGGAUUGGAUUAUAUAUAGUGCUGACUUAUGUUUGGUAUUGUAUUGGAUUAGAUUAUGUUAAAUUAAAUUUACAUAAAAUUAAAUAGUAUUUACAUUAAUAUUUGAAUUUAAAUAUAAACUAUUUAUAGAUAUUUAACAAGAAAUAUUGUAAUUAAUUAAAAAUAGCAAUUGGGUAGUAUAAUAAAGAAAUAUAAAUUAUUUAAAUUAUAGGUUAUUUCAAAGAGUGAUGAAACAACCACAAAUUCUUGUACAAACUGAUCUUAUACAAACUGAUUUGGCAUUAAUUCAUUGAAUGAAAAUAUAAAAUAAUAAAAAUAAAUCAUGUGGGCCCAAGAUAUAUUUAAUUCAACCAAUUUUAUCAUGACACAUCAAUUUGUACAAGAAUUUGUGACUAUAUUAUUACUCUAUUUUAAAUAUGAGAGAUAUCAUUUCAUUGAAUAAAAUAAAUAAAAUUAUUCAAAUAAUAAAUUAAUUAAUAAAAUUUAAGUAAAUCAUGAAUAAAAAAGAAAUUAAUUAAUUAAAAACAGUAAAUAAUUAAAUAAUUUUUAAUUUAUAAAUAAAAUGGUAUAAUAAAUUAUGGAAGAUACUAUAAAUACACAAAUAUUUUUUUCACAUUAUCUAGUUCUAACUAAACACACAUAAAAAUUAGGAUUAGCAAUCCCAUGAAUUUAGGAUUAAAAUUUGAAUUUAGUCCCAAUUCUGAGUACACAUUAAGGCCUCUACUGUACUCGGAUGAAGUCUACUACGAUGUGGGCUUAAACAUCGACCUCCCGCACUAAAAGCAGAUUCGGAAGCAACUGUGGAGACCGGAACAGCCAGCAAAUCUCUAGCAAUCUCAGACAAUAUCGGAUAUCUACUUCUAUUCACCUUCCACCACAUUAAAAUAUCGAAGUCUGGAGUAGUCUUAUCCUCUUCUUCCAAGUAAGUAUCUAACUCCGACUUAACUCGUUUACGAAUAUGUUGGCUUUUGAAUGCAUUAAAUUUUUGCACAUCCCACAUACCCAUCACAACUUGCAAAACGAAAGCAUUUGAUUGAUUGAGAGGCGGGAAGGCGGGAAAACGAGAGAGAUUUGCUUUUGUUUUUUCUUCGUUUGGUCAUACAUGUGGCCCCCCAGGUUGACAAGCGUUAUUACUACUACUUGCAUUAUUUGAAGGACGCGUGUCAUGCAACGAUGAUGGAAAAAGUGGUGCAAAACUUCAAUGGUCACGAAAUGACGAUAAAACAAAAAUAUAUGGUUAAUUUUUCACUUAACAUUGGAAUAUCAUAUAAUUUUAUGGUCAUUUUCUCGCCGUUACGCCACAUUCUUUUAAUAAAAUAAUACGGUUAAACUUUUCUAUAAUCAUGAUAUUAGAACCCAAUUAGCUUUAUUUCUAUAAAGUGGUUAUAGCUUAAUAAAGGUAAAAUUAUAAAAACUAUUAGUAGUCUUAAGUGAUCAAGAAAUAACCAUACCACCAAUUUCACCACCCUUAUUCACAAAUGUAUGAGUAUGAUCCUUCAUGAGUAAAUUUUUUUGUGUCCGCACUGACCUGUAGACAUCCAUGAAAAACCAUCAGAUUAUAAACACAGGGUCAAUUUAAAGAGGAGCUAUGAUUCUGAUCCAUCAUGAUAUUUGAAGAACAUUUUCAUAUUUUCCUACAACGAUAGAGUAAGUCGAGUACUUGACAAUCAAAGUAAUUUACUCGAGGUUGAGUAAGGAUAGUACAAUACUUUCUCAAGUUUUCUGAGGACAUUCACGUGACAUUGGACUAUUGACUAUACUUAGAGAGAAGUCCAAGGAUGUAAGUGAUGAUGAUAGAUUCAGAAUUCUUUUGAUGAAAAUAUUUUAUAUAAACUUAAUUAUAUGGCAUAAAAUGAUUGGCCUUAAUAAAAUUAAAAAAUAAUAAAAUUAAAAAAUAAUAAAAAUAAUACACGCCUGGGUCAUGCAAUAUUUUCAACCAACUAAUUUACACGCAAAAUUAAAUUUUAUGAGUACAUUUAUUUGCUAGCAGAAACACUGCCAAAUUUUCCGAAAUGUGAAAGUGAACACUUUUUACAGCGGCACAAAAUGCCUGUGAUAAUGAAACAAUGUACCAUCCUUAAACUAAUAUUAUUAGAAACUAUAAGUGAAUGUUUUCAGAAAACAUGUGAUAAGUUUUUCUUGGAAUUUGUUUUCUCCUUUGUUUUGAUUUACGCGAGAGAUAGUUCUAAAGAUUGUUUUGAUAAGUUUUCAGAAAACAUGUGACGAAUCGUAGUAAAAAAUUUAUAUAUAAUAAUUGAAUGAGAUCCAUGGUUCACAAUUGCAAAUUAAAGGUUGGUUUUAUAAUAAAAAUCGUUUUGUGCAUACCAAAUUAGAAAAGAUUAUAAGUAAAUUAAGAUUUUCAAAAUUUGCCUAGUAUUAUAUUAUCGUACAUCAAUAUAAUAUAAAUUUGUUAUAUUUAUAUAUGUUAUUCUGUAACUAAUGCUUUCAAAAAUUUUAUACUUGUAUGUUUGAACAACUUUUUUUCGCUUUCUAUUUAUAUACGAUAUUAUUUAUGUUUACAUAAAUUUUCAUAUGUACCCAAAUUAAGUAUUAAAUACACACACUCUGGUAAGACACAUUUCUAGUAUCAGACAAUGAUAUUAUAUUGAAUGUAAUGCUUCAAUGAAUUUUAUUACUAUAUACUAAAAUACUCAACGAUCUUCAUUAAAAAAAAAAAAAAGAAAUUGCAUGAUUAGAAUGAUUAAAGUUCAUUUAAUGACGAGUUUCAUCAUUGACUGUGUCGAAACAGAACAGCAAUCCACAAUACACUCAACACGAGAGGCGCACACAAGCAUGCAUGAAUCUUCCACCAUUAAACCUGAAAUCAUAGCAUGAUUAGAAUGAUUAAAGAUCAUUUGAUGAGGAGUUUCAUCAUUAACUGUGUCGAAACACAGCAGCAAUCCACAAUACACUUAACACGAGAGGGGCACACAAGCAUGCAUGAAUCUUCCACCAUUAAACCUGAAAUCAUAAAAUAAAAGAAACAAGAUGAGUGUUGUUUUACGGUCUGAAAGCCGAUUCCAAAUAAUAAUAAUAAUAAUAGUAAUAGUAAUAGUAAUAAACCUUUGUUAAUAAUUACUACUAGUUGUCUCUACCUUUUGCAUCUUCCUCCUUUGUAUCAUCGUCCUCUUCCAAUCACACGGCUGGACCAGUAUGUCUCGAGAAUCUCUACUGCCUUCUCAGAGAUGCCGUUGUCGUCAUGACUUCGUAGAUUUUCAAUCUUUUCUAAUCCCUCAGCCUCCUCAACCAGCUGGGCAUAUUGAUUAAAAUCUCCAACGGCGGUACCCGUAUUCAUUUCAGCUACCCCGACCUUCAAAAUGUUCUCUAAUCCUUCUAAGCAAACAGUGACGAUCUUUGGAUCAGCGCAUAGAAGCAGAUCACACAAUGGUUUUACACACCCCUCUCUCACGAGGUAUUUGAUUUGCUCAUGAGUGCCAAACUUGGUGGCAUUUGAAAUUGCCCAAGCGGCCUCCUUCUCUGUAUCAAAUUCAGCAUUUUGAAGCAGAUUGACAAUGGGACCAAUUAAGCCGGCAUCACUUACCGCCUGAAUCUGCUCCCUGUUUCCAGCUGUAAUAUUUGAAAUAAUCCAGCUGACUUCGUUCUUGAUGCUCUCUCCAUGAUUAUGGACCAACAUGUCCCAAAAGUAUGGCAGUGCACCACAGUUAAUUAUACACUGAAUCUGGAAUUCAUCCCCCGUCACAAUAUUUCCAAUAGUCCGCAGGGCAGGAGUGAGCACCGAGGGUGAUGGAUGGCCAAGGAGCUCAACAAGUCGUGGACAGACACCUGCCUCGAUCACAGCUUGAAUUUUGUCAUUUCGUACCAUCAGAAAGAUAGGAGAGUGUCCAACAGGCGUCACUCAACACCUCUUCAUCAUCUAAAUGAAUAAGCUGUGCAAGUGCCGGAAGAGCUGCCCUUACCUGAUCAAAUGGUGGUUCUGGCUUGCCCUUGCAUAAAUUAGACAAUGUCCUUGCGGCAAUUCUCAGCAUUGAAAGCUUAGCAUGCUCAUUUAACUCUGCCAGCAAUGGAAUCAAAGCUCCUUCACCAAGCACUAGAUCACGGCAUCCAGAUGAGUCACCAGCAACAUUUCCCAAUGCCCAAACAGCCUGCUCGCGGACAUCAUCAUUUGGGGAAGCAAGCAGCUUCACAAAUAUUGGAACGGCACCGUGGUCAAUCACCACCUUAAUGUUCUCUGAAGUUCCAGAAGCAAUGUUUGAAAGAGCCCAAGCAGCCUCAUACUGAAGUUGCGGAUAGUCUUCCCUCAUAAGAAACUCAACAAAGCGCGGGACAACGCCAGAUUGUAUGACUUUAUCAAUUUGUGGACUCCUCUCAAUCGAAAGCAGUUUGCUGAACUGAGUAGUUGCUUCCAGCUGCAAGCCGCUGUCAUCUGACCAAACCCCAGCAACCAUCCCGGGUAAACUCGCCUACUUAUUUUAGGAGCAGGAGCAAGAGGAGGAAAUUAAGUUAGGGAUUUGGAGUGAGAGUGAAAGUGGAGAAAAAGCAAGAGAGGGAAAAAGCUAAUUGUUGAGAAAUAUAUACCUUUCGUAUGGUUGUGUUAAGGUCGUCCUUCCAAUCCCAACAUGCUUCACCCAGCCGCUGCACUUUGUGUAAUUUGGGUGUACUUAAUUUUCCUUCAGAGAAAAUCUUCAUACUGGGGCAAUCAUCCACCACUAAUCUUUCCAAAGAUAGGAAAUUGAAAGCACAAUUGCCAGGGCAGAAGCUUGUCAGACUUUUUAAGUGUAAAAGCUUCAACUCCUUCAAUUCUCUGAAAGUAAUAACCUCAUCUUGUGCUACAACAUCAUCCCCAAGUACUAUUUCUGCUAUCUUAUCGCAUGAUUCUAUCUCCAUAUAUCUAAGUCGCACCAGAGUCUUUGCAAUUGAGGAUGUUAAUACGAUUUUCAAUCUUUCGCAACACGAUACCACCAUAUUUGUAAGAUUCUGAAAGGAUGACGACGAUGGCACUAGAUUGACCAAAUGGUGACACCCAAUUACACGUAGAAUAACCAAGUUGUUCGUAACAGAAGACUCCUCCAUCAAAAUGUGCUCCAGUUGAUAUUUUGCUUCUCUUAUUUCUACCCUCAUCCCAUUUUCAACAUUCUCUUCCGGCAACCAAGCACCAUAUCCUCCUAUUUGGAGUACUUUCAUUGUGUGAAGUCUCUGGAGGAAGUCACCAAGUGAUAAAAUAGUCCGCUCAUCAACCAACUCCACGUAAAGAUAUUUUAGUUUGCAAAGCAAGUCUUCAGAAAAUAGAUAUUUAUUUGUUACUACGUGCUUUGCAUCAACUUUCAACUUUUCCAAAUUAGGGAAUACCUGGGAGAUUGUAGCAGUAAACACAUUUCGUUCAGUAGAUGCAAUUGAUACGGCAACAUCGCGAACUACAUCAUGCAUAGAAAACAACUCUUUCUUCUGGCUUAUAUGGUCAAGCAACAUACAAGAAGCUUUGAGUGUGCGCACCAAUGUAUGUACUCGAUUUCGUGCUACUUCAAUCUUAUUCACACCUUGAAAUAAACCCAAUCCCAUACCACACAUUAACAAGUCAUGAAUAGAUGAUAUGGCUGUAUAUCCUAUUAGCAAAAAGAUGUUCUUGAGAUCAUCCCUUUUUAGUUUAUUGUAGCUCAACUCGAUAGCUUUAUAUGCACCAUACUCUUAUGCCUUUGUCCUCCAAUCAACCAUAAGACAAAUUAUUAUUGAGUGUGAGCAGACAUUAACCACCAAAUUUUCAAACUUGUGAUCCCUACUGAAUCUGCAUUCCCCUUUACAAAAGUAAAAAAAAAAAGGGCAAAUAACGAAACAAAAUUCUGUUCCUUGACUGCAAGUGCUGUCGGCAUUUUCAGACUUGGAAGACCCUUCUACUUGCAAGAUACCACUGAAUUUGUCUUUUUUUUUUAAUUACACUGUAUUAUCUUAUAUUUUAUAAAAAAAUUUAAUAAAUAUUAUAAAUUAUAAAUUUCUGCUGUACCGUACAUCCGCCUUGGCCGUACAGCAGCUUCUCUUUCUUCAGUCGAUCAUAGAGUCUUCUUGCCCUACCCGAUUCACUCUCCUCAUCAAAUUUUAGACCUAGUUUAUCCGCGAUUUCUCCUUGAAGCUUUCUUACGUCUCGACUCUCAGACACCUCAGAAAAAACCACCUGAUCGAAAAGCUUGUCACUCUCUGCUUUUCUAGCAACUUCUUUAGCUAGCGUCGUCUUUCCGAUUCCGCCCAUUCCAUAAAUCAAAAGCAUGUUGACAUUGGGAUUUUUUAAUGCAUCAAUUAUUUCAUUCAGAAUGGACGUUCUUGAUUCAAAGGCCUCGAAGUCUUUGUUAGGCAUAAGCAAGGUAUCCUCCGGAAUGAUGCUGUAGGAAAUACUAUUAACUGGUCUAGCGUCCCGGACUUUGACAACAGCCUCCUUCUGCCUCUCUGCUUCCUUGCUAAGUCGAGGGCGGGUCUUCAAAUUAGGACAUAACCCCUUGAAACAACGCUUAUUUGCAGUGGCUUCAUCUUCUGUAAAUUUAUCUGCCUCUUCAAUGACACUGUUGGCCGUUGCAAGCCAAUUCUCAACGUUCUCUUCAAUCUCUUCUCCUUUUCUUUUAGCCUCAUCAACCUGGUGCUCUGUACUCACCCUCUCAGACUUUAGUUUCGCAACUUCAGUGUUGAGAUUCUGUAAGUUGCUCGUGUACUUACUCUCACGCAAAUAGCUAAUUUGGCGAUAUGCGGGAGGAGCCAAGCACUUUACAACUUCUAAAACAAUAGUAAGAAUGAUUUCAGCCAUCUUCAGUCCUUUGUCCUUGUCUCUCUAUCUCUCUUUUUCUGAAUUUUGGAAAAACAAUUCAACAGGUGACCACAACAAGAUGGAACACAAGUGACUACAACAAGAUGGAACAAAAUAAAAAGGAAAAAAAUACAAAGAGUGGAUGGAGAAUAAAACAGAGACAGCGGCACAGCUGGACACAACUAGAUAGAGAACAGAGCAAAACCAAAUAACAAGACUUAAGAUUACAACAAACAGAGGCCAAGUAUUGUUGAGAUCAGAAGAUGGAAAAUUCAAAAGAGUUGAUGGCAGAUGCUGAAUAACAGAACAACAAUGAAAGCAAUAAACAGAAGCAAAGUGUGUUUGUGAUCGACAGACGGAAGUAACGAAAGCGGUUGUUGAUUGAAAAUGAAUGAAUGGCCGGUAAACCGGUAUCCGUUGGAUUAGCAUAUAGAAAUCCAACGGUGGAUAUAUAUACUUGGAGAAUAAAAU